rnacentral:rRNA from 1 species
UUUUUAUGAGAGUUUGAUCCUGGCUCAGGACGAACGCUGGCGGCGUGCCUAAUACAUGCAAGUCGAACGCCUCUUUUU